CUUUUUAUAAGGUAUAUUUGAUUACUAUUUUUGGCUCCCGUAUUUUGUAAGCAAGCAAAGUAUUGAAAUAUAGCUAAGAAACUUGGCUCUGAUUUUUAGAUAUGGCAUAAACUAAAAAAUACACAUGGUUUUUAUUAAAAGAGGCGAGGUAGAAAGAUUAAUAAUUUUGAUUAAGAAUUAAAGUUUUAUUUAUUUUUCUAAAACAUUAUAGAAAUAUAAAACGUUUUGAAAAUCCCCGUUAACACCAGUGUCGAAGAUUAGAAAAGAGUGGGAGCUUGUUCUAGUUAAGUAAAUUAAAUUUGGUUAACUUGGUGCCAGCAUCCGCGGUUAGACCAAGAAAUUAAGUCAUAUUUAUUACGGUAAAAAGACAGUUAAAUUAAUAAAAUUAGUAAUCUGAUUAUUUAUAAAGAAGUAAAAUUCGAAUAUAAAUAUAUAUUUCAAAAAAAACUAAAAAAUUGAAUCUGUGAUAGCUUUAAGGGAAACUGGGAUUUGAUACCCCAUUAUUUUUAGCCGUAAAUAAAUCAAAUUUACAUAUUUACCAGAGUACUACGAAUCCAAAAAUUUAAAACUCAAAGAGCUUGGCGGUGCUUUAGACCACUUAGGGGAACCUGUCUCAUAAUCGACAAUCCACGUUAAACCUUACCUCUUUUUGCAGUCAGUUUGUAUACCGUCGUCGUCAGGUGACUCCUAAAGAAAUUGAAGUCAGCUAGAUAAUUAUUAAUUAAAACGUCAGAUCAGGGUGCAACUUAUAAAGGGGAGAAGAUGGGUUACAAUUAGAAAUUUCUAAUCACGAAAAACUAUUUGAAUAAAUAUUUAAGAAGGAGGACUUAAAAGUAAUUUCGAUUAUAUAAAAACUUUGAAUUAGGCUCUGAAGCGUGCACACAUCGCCCGUCGCUCUCGUUGAAAAAUGAGAUAAGUCGUAACAUAGUAGGGGUAAUGGAAAUUGUUCCUGGAUG
rnacentral:rRNA from 1 species